rnacentral:rRNA from 1 species
CCCUUAGACGUUCUGGGCCGCACGCGCGCUACACUGACGAAGGCAACGAGCUUUCCUUUACCGAAAGGUACGGGUAAUCUUUUGAAACUUCGUCGUGCUGGGGAUAGAUCCUUGCAAUUUUUGAUCUUAAACGAGGAAUUCCUAGUAAGCGCAAGUCAUCAACUUGCGUUGAUUACGUCCCUGCCCUUUGUACACACCGCCCGUCGCUACUACCGAUUGAAUGGUUUAGUGAGGCCUUCGGAUCCGCGACUCGUUUUGUGGAGAAGUUGGACAAACUCAGUCAUUGAGAGGAAGUAAAAGGCGUAACA